rnacentral:rRNA from 1 species
UGGUAGGGUAAUGGCCUACCAAGGCUGCGAUGGGUAGCCGGUCUGAGAGGAUGGUCGGCCACACUGGGACUGAGACACGGCCCAGACUCCUACGGGAGGCAGCAGUGGGGAAUUUUGCGCAAUGGGGGGAACCUUGACGCAGCGACGCCGCGUGGGUGAUGAAGGCCUUCGGGUUGUAAAGCCCUGUUGGGGGGGAAGAUAAUGACGGUACCCCCUGAGGAAGCCCCGGCUAACUACGUGCCAGCAGCCGCGGUAAGACGUAGGGGGCGAGCGUUGUCCGGAAUUACUGGGCGUAAAGGGCGUGUAGGCGGCUUUUCAAGUCGGCUGUGAAAUUCCCCGGCUUAACCGGGGGGGUGCAGUCGAAACUGAUGGGCUUGAGUGCAGGAGAGGGUGGUGGAAUUCCCGGUGUAGCGGUGACAUGCGUAGAUAUCGGGAGGAACACCGGUGGCGAAGGCGACCUCCUGGCCUGUUACUGACGCUGAGGCGCGAAAGCUGGGGGAGCAAACAGGAUUAGAUACCCUGGUAGUCCCAGCUGUAAACUCUGGGUACUAGGUGUGGGGGGCUUCGAUGCCCUCUGUGCCGUAGUUAA